rnacentral:rRNA from 1 species
CAAGUCGAGUGCGCGUCUGUAGCAAUACAGAUGGCGCACGGCGCACGGGUGCGUAACACGUGGGCAAUCUGCCCUUCGAUGGGGAAUAACUCCGGGAAACCGAAGCUAAUUCCGCAUAACAUUCCUUGGACCUCGGUUCGAGGACUCAAAGCCGUAAGGCGUCGAAGGAGGAGCCCGCGCCCGAUUAGCUAGUUGGUGGGGUAACGGCCCACCAAGGCCAUGAUCGGUAGCUGGUCUGAGAGGAUGGCCAGCCACACUGGAACUGAGACACGGUCCAGACUCCUACGGGAGGCAGCAGUGGGGAAUCUUGCGCAAUGGGCGAAAGCCUGACGCAGCGACGCCGCGUGGGGGAUGAAGCAUCUCGGUGUGUAAACCCCUUUCGAUUGGGACGAAUGCCUCGCAAGAGGAGUGACGGUACCAGUAGAAGAAGCCCCGGCUAACUACGUGCCAGCAGCCGCGGUAAGACGUAGGGGGCCAGCGUUGUUCGGAAUUACUGGGUGUAAAGGGUUCGUAGGCGGUGUGGCAAGUUGGGAGUGAAAUCUCUGGGCUUAACCCAGAGGCUGCUUCCAAAACUGCUGUGCUUGAGUGUGGGAGAGGCGCGUGGAAUUGCAGGUGUAGCGGUGAAAUGCGUAGAUAUCUGCAGGAACACCCGUGGCGAAAGCGGCGCGCUGGACCACAACUGACGCUGAGGAACGAAAGCUAGGGGAGCAAACAGGAUUAGAUACCCUGGUAGUCCUAGCCCUAAACGAUCAGGACUUGGGGUGCCACCCGUUCGGGUGUCGUCCCGGAGCUAACGCGUUAAGUCCUGCACCUGGGGAGUACGGUCGCAAGACUGAAACUCAAAGGAAUUGACGGGGGGCCCGC